UACGGAAGGUGCGAGCGUUGUUCGGAUUGAUUGGGCGUAAAGCGCACGUAGGCGGGUUUGUAAGUCGAUUGUGAAAGCCCCGGGCUUAACCCGGGAAUUGCAGUCGAAACUGCGAAUCUUGAAUGCCUGAGGGGUUGGUGGAAUUCCAGGUGUAGGAGUGAAAUCCGUAGAUAUCUGGAGGAACAUCGGAGGCGAAGGCGGCCAACUGGCAGUGCAUUGACGCUGAGGUGCGAAAGCGUGGGGAGCAAACAGG
rnacentral:rRNA from 1 species